CAGCAUCACCCUCAGAAGCUGUCCUUAGCACCUAGACCAGUAGGACCCCUGGCUAUACCUUCCCAGAGUCCCCUCUGAUCCCCUCUCAUGACACUGAUUAUAUGCGACGGUGACAAAUUAUCUGUCCCUGCUGCUAUAAAUCACGGGGUCUGUAAGAGCAGACACCACGUCUCUCUCAUUUGUCACUCUGACCCUAGCGCCCAGAGCUCUGAGUGAACUGAAGGACUUCAUCACCCAGUACAUGUGGUAAUAUUUCCUGGUUAUCUUUUAGGAAUAAAAGUCUAAAAAACGUUGGACACCGUGGCUCAUGCCUGUAAUACCAGCACUAUGGGAGGCCAAGGCAGGUGGAUCACUUAUAACCCAGGAAUUUGAGACCAGCCUGGGCAAAAGAGCAAGACCCUGUCUCUACAAAAAUUUAAAAAUUAGCCAGGCACAGUGGCUCAAGCCUAUAGCCCCAGCUACUUGGAGGCCGAGGCAGGCAGAUCACUUGAGCUCAGGAGCUGACCAGCCUGGGCAACUUGGCAAAACCCCAUCUUACAAGAAAUACAGAA
rnacentral:lncRNA from 1 species